UAAUUAAUGUACCCCUGAAAGAAAUCGAUUCAUUUCUCUCUCUCUCUCUUCUCGAGAAUUCCUCUCCAGAAAAAGUAAACCCUAGAUUUAAUUCAAUACUCGGGUGUGCUUGGUUUCCUUACGAUUUAUUUAACAGAGAAUACAAAUCUACCUUUGAGAUCUACAGAUCGAGAAUUUUUGCUAGACAGGCUUUUGAUUGGUAUACGUUUUUGUUCAAUUUGAACCAUAUAUAUUGUUAAAACUCAAGUUUGUAAGAUGAAGCGAUCAGGAUACUGAACUGGAAUUCUGAAGGAAAUAAGCGAUCAGGUGUUUUCAAACUUUUCUCUUGUAAAAAUUUAGUUUUGUUAGUGGUUGUUUACUGGAUUUUGAGGUUUAGAUUUUAUAGAUCUAGUUGGGAAUUUUACGUCGAUGGAUGUGAAUGAUUUAGUGAUCGUGUUUAACUUGGAAAUGCUUUUGUAGAUUUAGUUUAAUUGUUUAAAAUUUACAGAUUAAUUUCAGUUAGUUUUGCAAUUUUGGCAGAUUUAUCUCUCAGUAGACUUCUUUUUUUUUUUUUUUCUUUUGUAAUUGUUAAUCACAUUUAAAAUCGACGGGAAAAAGGAAGUAAGUUGCAAUGAAAUUAUGAAUCUAUUGUACACUAUAUACGGAGAAUUACUAUUUCUUGUUCAGAUUAUGCUUAGAAUUUUUGUAGAAACUUGUUACUAUCAUUUUUCAGUGAGAAAUGGCCGUACAUGCAUACUAGAACUCACGAAUACAUUUGAGUAGACAUAAGAAAUGUUUUGAGGCCAUAACAGGUCAAGUUGCAGGGUUGGUAGUGGAUAAGUGAGGUUGAUUUUGAUCUGGAUUUUCAGCCGGAGAGGCAAGGUCUGUGUAAAAACGGAUAAGUUUCACAGUAAUAUUAGCCAUGUCCAAUUAGUACACUUGUCUUGGUUUCAGUGAAUUCUCAGACACGUUUUUGAAUUCAUCCUUUACUGCACUCUCACUUCCUGGUUGCUUCUUUACCUCUGGAGAAGAAGAGGUGCUACUUUGUGGACCUGUUCGGUUCAAAUGGAUGUAGCUUCUCGAGAGGUGGAUGCAUUAACUUUUUCAUUUGCUUUAAUCUUUUAUUCCUGCCUCUUUUUGGCAAAUUUAGCUCUUAGAUACAAAUUAAUGGAUGUUUAGUGGUCCUGACUCCUAGUACUAUAUAUUAUAUUGUUGUGUGCAGGAAUACCGACAAUCAUCAUCAAUUUGAGAAAUUAUUUGUUGUUUGUACUGUUUAGUUGGUAUUGAAGUCCUCUUUAGUUAGUUUAUAUGGAGUAUCAUGUUGUUUUAUUCCUUUUUCCCUUGCCAUUCGUAUAUUGUCACUUUGCAGAAAAUCUUGACUUCGAGUUACUAAUUAGUUGCAGUUCCCCCUCUCUAGUAGAGAAUUUCAGAGCUGGAGGCUCAACCCGCUUUUUGUUGGACCAAGGCAACUUCCUUAUGAAAGAAACAGACGGAGUCAACAAAAGAGAAGGACUGAUUGAAGGAUAGCAGCUCCCUAGCUGCUUGAGAUAUCUGUUCACAAAUCAGGUAGCGAAGCCUUUUCUCUUGUAGGGAUUUAACUCAGUUCAAAUGGUUCUGUUAUUUUUUCACCCCUGUAUAUAUUGUGAGAGUGACCACAAGGCGAACACAAAUGGAGGUUUAGAAUUUCCUCUUGACCUUCUGUGACGAGGAUACUCAAUAUGAGACCUUGAUAGAAGGAACUUCUGGAGAUACAGGACGGAGAUUUAGCUUAACUAUGAGAGAUCACCAAGACCAAGCACUAGAGUUUGGCACUUGCAUCAUAUGAAAGAUUAUUAAAUAGGCUUCAUUGGAAAGCUCCCGAAGUGCUAACAUUUUUCUCUCUCAGGGAAGUUUAUCGCAAUCUUUGUUACAUCUUCAGCAUUGGGAGCAACAUUAUAUAUGGUUACGAUACUUGAAUUCAUUGUUUAUAUUAUGUUGCAGGGGAUCUAGAGAGUACUAUCAGGAAACUGGAAGAAAGCAACUCCCUGUUUGCCACCCGCGCAGAUAAGUUUUCUGUUCCACUUACAAUCUUAGCAUAAUCUUGCCUUAAGUCUAAUUUGACUUGAUCAGAUCUUUAUCAUUAGCUCAAUAUACAUGCUAGUAUAGCUUUGUCAUCAGUUUAUGGAAGCAUUAUGCCUUGAUCUAGUGUACUUAAUGGAACACUAGUAUUGUAGGUCUUGAUGUGAGUAGAGCAUGAACAAUAGGAAACAGAAGAUGCUCAUUUAUGGGCUGAGCAAGACGUGAAUGCUCAAAAAGAUAAAGCUCACAAGCUUCAUGUUUCCUCUCUUCCUUUUCUUAUUCUGAUAUGUUCAGAGACUAGAAUUGAAUGUUAUGAAAACUGCUAUCUUUGUAUCUGUACAGAGGCAGAGCGUCAGUGCGUCCGCAAUAGCUGUUGUCUUGAGAAACUUAAGCUAGUCAUCUAGAUAACAGUCCUGAUAAAACAUCUCAGGGAGAACUUUUUUUCCACCAACUUGUGAUCUUUUUGCUUUCCUUUCCUCAUAUUUUCCUAUGUCAAUCACGUAACUCUACUUACUGUUUGAGAUUAUUUAACAUGCUUUUGUUUAUUUUGCAUUACUAAAUGUCCAUUGUUGGUUUUGAUUGAUGUAGGAAUUUCAUGAGUCAAGCUUGCCUGCUAGUUACUGUUGUGGAAUUAGAUGAAGACAGAAAGCUUGGAGAUAUUAUGAUCGUGCAGUUGAUCAAUUAGCCAAAACCAGGUGUCAUGCGAUUUCGGCAUUGUUAUUUUUGGAUUUUAGUCUAUGCAAGACUGUUUUGGGAUUUUAUCUUUAGCAAUGUGGUUUGGGGGUCUUCUUUCUAGGAUGUUAUUUGGACAAAGAAUAUGUAUGAGAUUUGAGUUUUGCAAUAUAUGUCACUUUAUUGAAGUUAAAAAGCUUCUUUGUUUGUCA